rnacentral:misc_RNA from 1 species
UUGACUUGUUUUGUAUAUACUCGGAGAUGCCACGCUGCAGAGACAGAGUAGGGGGCCACCGGCGGGCUUCGUGCCCGGCGCAGGGCCGGGCACCCGCCGAGGCAACGUUUCGGUAGGUUCACAGGGUUGUGGGAUCUUGCGAUUCCAGUAAUGAUCCCUCCGCUGGUUCACCAACGGAGA